rnacentral:tRNA from 1 species
GCAUCGGUAGUUCAAUGGCGAUAAUGCUCGCCUGCCACGCGGGCGGCCCGGGUUCGAUUCCUGGCCGAUGCA